rfam:Clostridium ultunense Esp genomic scaffold, CTLT_3033
CCGUGCUAGAUGGGGAGGUAGCGGUGCCCUAUAACCUGCAAACCGCUGUAGCAGGAUCGAAUUCCCAGUCUAGGCGUCUAUAUUUCAGGGUCUGCCCUGAAUAAGUGGCGUUGACGAAUGGGUCCUGCGCAACGAAAAUCUAUGAACCCCGUCAGGUCCGGGAGGAAGCAGCGGUAAGUAGACACUUUCGUGUGCCGUAGGGGUGCCUGUUCUGAGUUAACUGUUUAGGUAACGCCUGGGGUAUAACGACGAAGCUGGGUGCACGG